UACGUAGGGUGCAGGCGUUAAUCGGAAUUACUGGGCGUAAAGCGUGCGCAGGCGGUCUCCUAAGACAGGUGUGAAAUCCCCGGGCUUAACCUGGGAACUGCGCUUGUAACUGAGAGGCUUGAGUGCGGCAGAGGGGGGGUGGAAUUCCACGUGUAGCAGUGAAAUGCGCAGAUAUCAGGAGGAACACCAAUGGCGAAGGCAGCUCCGCUGGGACGUGAGCUGACGCUGGAGACGCGAAAGCGU
rnacentral:rRNA from 1 species